CAUGCAGUCGAACGAUGAACCUCCUUCGGGAGGGGAUUAGUGGCGAACGGGUGAGUAACACGUGGGCAAUCUGCCCUGCACUCUGGGACAAGCCCUGGAAACGGGGUCUAAUACCGGAUACGACCACUGAGGGCAUCCUCGGUGGUGGAAAGCUCCGGCGGUGCAGGAUGAGCCCGCGGCCUAUCAGCUUGUUGGUGGGGUGAUGGCCUACCAAGGCGACGACGGGUAGCCGGCCUGAGAGGGCGACCGGCCACACUGGGACUGAGACACGGCCCAGACUCCUACGGGAGGCAGCAGUGGGGAAUAUUGCACAAUGGGCGAAAGCCUGAUGCAGCGACGCCGCGUGAGGGAUGACGGCCUUCGGGUUGUAAACCUCUUUCAGCAGGGAAGAAGCGAAAGUGACGGUACCUGCAGAAGAAGCGCCGGCUAACUACGUGCCAGCAGCCGCGGUAAUACGUAGGGCGCGAGCGUUGUCCGGAAUUAUUGGGCGUAAAGAGCUCGUAGGCGGCUUGUCACGUCGGUUGUGAAAGCCCGGGGCUUAACCCCGGGUCUGCAGUCGAUACGGGCAGGCUAGAGUUCGGUAGGGGAGAUCGGAAUUCCUGGUGUAGCGGUGAAAUGCGCAGAUAUCAGGAGGAACACCGGUGGCGAAGGCGGAUCUCUGG
rnacentral:rRNA from 1 species